rnacentral:rRNA from 1 species
GACAUAGGUGGCGAACGUUAUCCGGAAUUAUUGGGCGUAAAGAGCUCGUAGGCGGCUUGUCACGUCGAUUGUGAAAGCCCGAGGCUUAACCUCGGGUCUGCAGUCGAUACGGGCUAGCUAGAGUGUGGUAGGGGAGAUCGGAAUUCCUGGUGUAGCGGUGAAAUGCGCAGAUAUCAGGAGGAACACCGGUGGCGAAGGCGGAUCUCUGGGCCAUUACUGACGCUGAGGAGCGAAAGCGUGGGGAGCGAACAGG